rfam:Cavia porcellus supercont2_67 genomic scaffold, whole genome shotgun sequence.
AUUUAUGGCUAUACCACACAGAAUGUACCUAAAUUCAUCUGAUCUUAGAGUCUAAGAAGUGCUGGGUCUAAUUAGUAUUUGAAUGUGAGACAAAUGGAGAUUUAUUUAUUUUUGCUG